rfam:Aedes albopictus isolate Foshan contig107825, whole genome shotgun sequence.
UAGCCUAGUGGUUAAGGCUAUGGAUCGCCAAUCCUGAGACGGCGGGUUCGAUUCCCGU